AUUGGAGCUUGGAGCAGGGAGUACAAAGUGGGGAAUUACAACUGGACAGCACAGGGAUGUACAGCAUUGGUAAGGAAUUGGAACGCAAAGUAUCAAAGAAGACGAAGAGGCCCCCACCAGCGAAGGCAACUAAAAAGACAACUGGCAUGGCAAAAACACUACAGCCGCUACAGCCAGUCAAGACUAAGCCAGGAGAGAAGAUCUCAAAGAAGGUCACGAAAAUCCCCUCGAAGAAGAACAAACUCCCCAUCAAUCGCACUCGCAGGGAAAUGGGAAAGCCCAAACCCAUGCAAAAGCCCACUCCCAAGAAGCGUACACAACGGAAGGUCAAGGACGAAGGCGAUAAUUAAGACUCCUUCCUACCAACCGUUCAACCGUUCAAAAUUAUCUGUUACACAACACUUGACGUACACUUCCACACAUUUUACCUUUCUUCCAUUUUCGUCGGAGUUGGAAGGAACUGUUCCAAGCCAGUGAUGGUACCUCCCCACAUCCUCCACUUCCAUGAUGUGAGGAUGUGGGUGAAUGUGGAUGGCAUCACAAACACAUUGUUGCAGCUUCUUCUGCGUAAAAGAUAUACCCAUCCAUCCUUUCAAUCUAUUUUCAACGCAUAAUGAGGGCUUUAACUACACUUUGGACACUCUACUACACAAUUGAUCUAUUUUCAACGCAUAAUGAGGGCUUUAACUACACUUUGGACACUCUACUACACAUGUGAAAACAUGAAUUUCAACGCCAAUGAAUAUUGGAAAAUAUUUGAUGGAACCGCCCCACAAUUUUACGCAUAGAGAAUGUGUGGAGCAGGGGAUCGCAUCACUUUUCCGCUGACACUUGUGAUGGUUAUCGGAAACCAGAAAAGCAAUCCUGGAUACGAUUCUAGGGACUUAGGAUCGCAGAUCUGUUAAAAUUAUUAAAUUAUCGUUAUUAAAUCAAAUGUUGCUUGCAAUAACCAACAUUUUGUUGCAUAUUUUUAAAGUAUUUUGGAGGGGUGGAUUG